rnacentral:sRNA from 1 species
GCAGAAUUCAGUGAAUCAUCGAAUCUUUGAACGCAAAUGGCGCUCUUGGGUUCUCCCAGGAGCAUGUCUGUCUGAGUGUCUUUUUCGUUGAAUGACAUUCGCACGAUGUGGCCGUGUCAUGCACUGGCGUUUCGUGCGGCGUUGAGGUUCGCGGCCUUGCUAUUCUUAGGCCGCGUGCCUUUAAAUGGAGGAGGAAGAUGGGCUCAAGGUCCGGUGCAGUCGCAUGCGGAUUCAGUUCAUGUGCCGCAUGUGACUGCUGCACCGGGGAAUAUUGUCCUCGGCCCUCUACCUCGUGACCUUUAGCACGACGCCGUUCGUUCGUUCGUUCGUUGCUUGCCGCCAGACCUCAGAUCAGGCAAGGCUACCCGCUGAAUUUAAGCAUAUUAAUAAGCGGAGGAAAAGAAACUAACAAGGAUUCCCCCAGUAACGGCGAGUGAAGCGGGAAGAGCUCAAAUUUGAAAUCUCCGAUGCCUGCAUCGGCGAGUUGUAGUUGCGAGAAGCACUUUCUAGGCGGAAGGGCCCUGCCUAAGUUGCUUGGAACAGCACGUCGCAGAGGGUGACAACCCCGUCU